UUGAACUCACUCCAGCAUUUGAAUAGUCACCUUGCCAGAUUUCACCGGGUGCUUCUGCGGCGUGUUCCAGCUCUGAUGCGGCCGCCGAAGCUGAUCGCGACCACUCCAGUCAAUGCUUGUGAUUCCACCAGACGAGACACAGCGCGUUUCAGGAGCGUCCCAAAAGUGGCUCUCCACUCUGUUUCCUUAAAGAUAGGUGCCUUGUCUAUUUUUGACGGACGCUGCGUCCAAGCCGCACAGUUCAAAUACAAAAACUUCCUCGCAGCGCUCUGCUUCUGAAAUGCUCCCGGUGGGUUAUGACACUGCAUGGAGGAUGCAGCAAAGCCUCAUCAGAUCCGGAACACAUGGCAGAAGUGCAGAAGGGAGUGUAUAUCCGACGUCAGGCUAUAUAAGCUGUUAACAUGUUUAGCUUAUUUUUACA